ensembl:snoRNA
AGCCUCAUUCUAGAUGGAAAUGGACACUGUUGUUCAUGGUGUCCGGAAAUUGUUAAUAUAGCUACAUUAAGACACAAGUUAUGCUUCUAUCACUGGCAGCGGUGACAAUGAGACCUAUAAUGUUU